rnacentral:lncRNA from 1 species
AAAAGGGCAGUAGUGUCCAAACAAUAGCAUCUAGGGUUUCCGACAGUAGACAAAAAUAGGGUUGUGAACUAAGGGUUUUGGCAUAUGACAUAUCGUCUUCGCCAUUGGCAUGCGAAAUCUACUGCUAGUAUCUUUUGGUUUAUUGGCGUUGUGGCUGAUUUGUGGUCCAAAAACUCAGUUUUGUUUAUUUUUCAUGAAGAAGGC